GGUGGGGUAGUUUGAGAGAAUGUUAGCUUGUGGCGUUAAUGGUGCCAGGGUUAUUGGCUCCCACUA
rnacentral:tRNA from 1 species